UCCACUUGUCUUCUAUCAAAACCAAAAAAUUAAUUUUCAAAUUCAUCAAUGCUUGCGAUCUGAAACUUCCGCAUCACAAUCACUAUCAUCGUUACAAUUUCUGCUAUUGCCCUCUCAUUUAGAUUUGGUGACUUGGUUGAAGCAAAAAUUGUUCAAGACAGGAAAGUUCAGAUAUGUCAGCGCUAUUUAAUUUCCAUUCCUUCUUGACAGUAGUGCUGUUAUGGAUUUGUACAUGCACUUAUGUAAAGAUGCAUUUUCCAGCACUUCUUGAACAAAGAACUGGGUAAGUCAACCAGAUUUAUCGUGUUUAAACGUCGUCAUCUCUCUCAUUUAUCGUCAUUGUUGCCAUUCAAUUGGAUGCAUAUAGACAGCAACAAUCACUUUAGCCACUUUCUCUCUGUGACUCGCCCCAAUCUCCAUCGUUAGAUGGGCAAUGAGGAGGUUGGUAAAGGAUGGAAGGAAUUUACAAUGAACUGAAGAAGAUAUUUUACGUCCUAAUUAGAUACUGUACUACUACUUAUGGCAGGUUUCGAGGCUUCUUCUGGAAGGCUGCUAGAAUAGGUAAAGCUUAUUUCCUACCAUGCUGGUAAUGUUGCUACUUAGAAACUGUCUGUGUUGAUUUAAUUUGUUUCUUCUCAUGUAAUUGGAGUUCUGUUACUUUGGUUAAAUAAUAACAGUGUACGUAAUUUUCCUUAACCAAAUUGCUUGCAAGUUAUCCCAUUAAUAAUGCAAGCGAAGAACAAGCUGUGGAUUUAAUGCUGUUACACAUUAUAUGAGUGGAUGUUAUUGCAUUAGCGCGGUUAAGUAUUGUUUAUGUGUAUGCAUAAUUUAUUUUUCUGCUCCUACUCUAUGCUAGGAACUCUGGUGUCCGUCAUAGGAUGUGUAAAUGGGGGAAAUAACAUUAGGAAACAGGGAAAUCAUUUCUCUGUUGUAGCAUAUUGAAUAUAAUGUCUUCUCUCAAGGUGUUGUUAACUAACUGGUGUGCUUCAACGUAGCAGGUGAGCGGCUGAGUCCUUGGAUGGCUGUAGGCUGCUUGACAAUGGGUGUUUCAAUAAUCUUCUUCUAAACUCGAAGAGUUGCUUGUGACAAAAAAAUAGACCUGGGAGCUAAUUCUUCUGCACUUGUUUUUGCCUCCUUCUUUGAUCAAACUUGAGCAAUGAAUCAUUGUGACACUACUUUGAUUUGGAACUAAGCUUUUGCUUGUAAGAUGGUCUUUGUUAUGAGGAGGGUUGAGGUUAUUGAUUCUGACUUUUGUAACACACUCCACUUGAUACCUUUUUGUUUAUGAUGGUGGUGUCUGAGUCAGUUUUUGCGCAUCUCGACUAAUUUCAUUCUGACUUUUGUAACACACUCCACUUGAUACCUUUUUGUUUAUGAUCGUGGUGUCUGAGUCAGUUUUUGCG